AGAAGUGGAGCAUCCAUGAGUACAGUGGCGUACGGGUGAGUAACACGUGGAUCAUCUACCCUUUAGUGGGGAAUAACCCUGGGAAACCGGGGCUAAUACCGCAUAAGCCUGGAAAGGGAAAGCAGCAAUGCGCUGAAGGAGGAGUCCGCGGCCGAUUAGCUAGUUGGUAGGGUAAUGGCCUACCAAGGCAAUGAUCGGUAGCCGGCCUGAGAGGGCACACGGCCACACUGGCACUGAAACACGGGCCAGACUCCUACGGGAGGCAGCAGUGGGGAAUCUUGCACAAUGGGGGAAACCCUGAUGCAGCGACGCCGCGUGAGCGAUGAAGCCCUUCGGGGUGUAAAGCUCUUUCGGCAGGAACGAUAAUGACGGUACCUGAAGAAGAAGCUGCGGCUAACUACGUGCCAGCAGCCGCGGUAAUACGUAGGCAGCAAGCGUUGUUCGGAGUUACUGGGCGUAAAGAGUGUGUAGGCUGUUCUCUAAGUUUGGUGUGAAAUCUCCCGGCUUAACUGGGAGGGUGCGCCGAAAACUGGAGGGCUUGAGUAUGGGAGAGGAAAGCGGAAUUCCUGGUGUAGCGGUGAAAUGCGUAGAUAUCAGGAGGAACACCUGCGGUGUAGACGGCUUUCUGGACCAUCACUGACGCUGAGACACGAAAGCGUGGGGAGCAAACAGGAUUAG
rnacentral:rRNA from 1 species